UACGUAGGGUGCAAGCGUUGUCCGGAAUUAUUGGGCGUAAAGAGCUUGUAGGCGGUUUGUCGCGUCUGCUGUGAAAUUUCGGGGCUCAACCCCGAACUUGCAGUGGGUACGGGCAGACUAGAGUGUGGUAGGGGAGACUGGAAUUCCUGGUGUAGCGGUGAAAUGCGCAGAUAUCAGGAGGAACACCGGUGGCGAAGGCGGCAUCCUGGACCAUUACUGACGCUGAGUGAGCGAAAGCCAGGGGAGCAAACGGGG
rnacentral:rRNA from 1 species